rnacentral:lncRNA from 1 species
GGAUCCCCAUUCUUGUACGCAGGAUUUGAGAAAUAAAAGAAAAAAACACAAAGAAAAGGUGGAUUUCCGAUCGUAUUCUCUUGGUUUUCAUUUUGUUCUUUAGUUUCUUUUUUAUUUCUUUUUUAUUUUUGUUUACAAAUCUAUUAAACGAAAGCGGGCAUAAAAAAUAAAAAAAAGAGGAGAAGAGAGUUUUACCGGAUCCACCCCGGGGUUG